UAGAAUGAAUGAAGAGAGGCUGCCAGCAUAUGAGUCAUAGAUGAUAAAUAAUAUGUGUCUGGAACUCUGAGUUCCCA
ensembl:snoRNA